UCAUACUAGGUAAUCCAUCUGAAGCUAAGCAGGUUUGGGCCUGGCCAAUAUUUGGACGGAAGACCAACUCAGAAGAGGUGCUGGUGUGGC
rnacentral:rRNA from 1 species